CAAACAAAAACAAAGGUACAGGGGCCGCGGGGUAGGGAGCUUACAUCGGAGGAGUUGGAGAUGAGCUCGCGGAGGAAGAUCUCCUUGUUGGAGUAGAAGGUGUUGAUGAUGAGCGAGAGCAACUGGUUGAUCUCCGCCUGGAAGGCAAAGGUCUCCGUCUCCGAGGCCAUGGCGCCGGAACCCGAGGGGAAGAAGACGGCGGCUAGGGUUUUUGAGCGGGUACCAGGGUUGCUGUAAGGCUAGGUCAGAGAGGGGAUGCGUGGGGGAGCGGAUUUAUAGUGAGGGGAGGGGUUCUGGAACGUUCUAUGCCACGCGAUGCAAUGGGGAGACGACGCGCGAGGUCAGGGUCAAGUUGACUAGUCGUUGGGCCCGAGUUCCUGUGGCCCACAUGUCAGUUAGAUAGUCUAAGUUGCUCUCCAGAAGCUUCUACGUUUUGUCUAUGAAUGAGUCAACGAUGAAAUGGGAAUGAAUUCAUUUCUUAUGCACAAUUUUCACAAUUUAGCAAACCAACGUGAUUUAAAUCUCUCUCAUGUAACAUACUACGAGACAAUUCAUUGAGAAUGUUGUUUAAGUUCAAAAUUGCGCUAAAUCAAUGCCAAUAAUUUAGGAUCGGAGGGAGUACUACCGUUGUUCAAACUAUAAGAUUUUAUAAUUUUGUCUUAAAUCAAACUUCUUCAAAUUUAUAUAAAACUACCGAUGUCUACAACUCUAAGUUAAUGUUAUUAAAUUCCCUAUAAAUCUUUAUAUACUUAUUUGAUAUUUUAGAUAUUGGUGUAUUUUUAUAGCGUUGGUCAAAUUUUAACGAGCGAAUUCAAAUUUUGCCCCAUGUUUGGUAAUUGUCAAAUGUUUACCCCGUUAUUUAAUUUUGUGCUAUAUUUUUAUCCUCUAUUUGUAAAUAUGAGUCCGUUUUUACCCAUCUAACCAAUUUGCCUGGUUUUUGACAUGUUGUACCACCUGUUGCUGUUGGGGUGACAUGGCUAGUCAAUGCCUAACAUGUUGAAAGCCUACUUUGGUAUGGCACUUUCUCCCUCUCCUUAACCGCCCCGGUUACCAACACCAACUCAUUUUCUCCAUGUUUUUUUUCUUAUAGUUAGGUCAUAGUUUUUGAGAAUUUCAAAUCUUCUACUCCCUCCGUACAACAAAAGAUGUCUCAAGUUUAUCAAAAUUUGGAUGUAUCUAGACAUGACUUAGGGAGCGUUUGGUUUCUUCGCUCAGUUGGCCCGUUGCUGAGCUAGCUCACCUAUCAUGGCUGGGCAUUGCUAGUUUUCCUGUGUCUUGCCAUUUGGUUGUUUGCUUUUGAGUUGACCAGAUUGUGGUUUCCGUGAGGAUCAGGCAGUUUUUCUUCUUGGGACCGCUUCUUGUCGUCGGAGGCGAGCCGAUCUGGCUCUCCCUUGCGGGCAAGGAAUUUCUGGCCCGUUUGAGCUAGCUUGCCUCCAAAAGUCAGGAUAAAUUGACAGAUCCAAACGUUGGGCCUUGCUGGGCUAGGCUAAUUGAGCUUUUGCCUGGGAACCAAACGAACCCUUAGUGUAUAGAUGCAUUCAAAUUUAGUCAAAGUUGAGACAUCUUUUGUUGGACGGAGGAAGUAUGAGUUUUUUUUGUCAAAUGUAAAAAAAUCAAAAUGUUGUUUCUCAAAAAGUUCAGAAAUUGUUGUAAAAUUUAAUGGAAAAAACUUUUUUUUGUGACCUAGCUAAAAUACAAGUCCAUUGCUUUAGGUUUUAGCACAUUUAGAGCACUGCAAUUCAUUAUCAUGUCCAUGGUACAAAACGCUUUUUUAUUUUAAUACAUUGAGGAUAGAACAGGCUCGUGUUGAAUACACGAUCAUUUACAUUUGUAACUUAAAAAAAAAUCUUUGAACUAUUGUAUAAUCUUUGAUGUUCAUCUCUCGAGCACAUGCUCCCGUUAGCUUUUGUGCCUCUCUGUCAUAUCUUGUUCUGUUUUUUUGUUCAUGUUCGAAGAUUUGAAGCAUCCUCCAAUUUAGAAAAAAAAAACGUGCAAAGAAGUUUCUGGAAGAAGGGGAGGCUCAGAGGACGCGGAGCAUCUCGUCAGCGAAAACUCCCAACGACCCGGAUGCGUACUCCAGAUGCGUUCAAUUCAAUCCAGUGGUCCAUUUCCAAGCUCCAACCAGGCCCAUGGAAACAAGACACGGGCAACUACAGCUGGUAAGGGUAAACGAAAACCAGCAAGAAAUUUCGACUUCGAGCGGUACUUAUCUCUGAACGUGCAUGCAGCAGACGGAGAUACAGUCAAACAAAAGAGGAAAAGGGCAAAAGAAUGAUACCUUGCUUCGCAGGGUAGUAGAAUCCGGGACCAGAUUGGUUGUACAUCCAACUCCAACUGUAAAGACUAGAAGAAGACACAAUUACAAGAGCUUCUUUGCAGAGAACUCUUUGAUAAGGGAGGUAUCGUUCCGUUUCAAAAAAAAAAAAAGACAAGGGAGGUAUCGUUUGUGGGACUCCCUUGAAAUAAAGCUUUCAGCAACAACAACAACAACAAAAAAAACUCCCUUGAAAUAAAGCUUUCAACAAAAGAAGAACUCUUCAGUCAAUCUCAGGAGUUUACAGGUCUCCAGGCCUAACAACUCAUUAGAUCAUGCUUUGCAUUCAGAGGGAGUCGGACCAGAAGGGAAUACUCAAGCUUAGGUAAGACUGAGGUACAAUGAGUGUCAGAUAAAAAGAAAGACUGAGGUACGAUGGACUGGAGACUCACAGGAUCGCGAUCUACAUCAUCGCUCAGAGCGAAUCGCUCUGGCCAUUACUAGGACCACUGGACCAACGAUCCUUUUUUGAGUUGUACAAAGUGGAGCAAGGCAGUGUAUGUCUGUCCAAAGUGGCGACACAGAAGGGUGUUGUAAGGAACAUUACAAGACUGUGAUUCCAAUGCAAAGAUGGAUUUUUGGUUGAAUACUGUAGUGAAAACUUAUAUGAUCCAAAGAAACUACGGAAAUUCGUGCGUGUCAGAAACGUUUGAUGCGCCUGCAUCCAGGAAUACCGGCACACCUUCUCUGGAUUUCUCUUGAGUUUUGGUUUGAUUUUGCUUGCGCUCGAAAUAGUUGGCGUGGCUGAUGAGCGGCAUGCACGAGUCGAGAGCACAGCAUUCUGGUUGCCCUGUUGGUGAAGCGAGGUGUGUGUUCUGCACAAGUGCGGCAUCAGUACCAGGAAAUUCCCGGAAAAACACUACUACACGAUGCCAUCGAGCUGCCUUCUGUUUUUCCAGCCGCAGUGUUCUUGACUCGAACAGAUUGCAGCUUCCUUCCUUCCAGAACGAUCUUAAUUCAUGUAAAAGUGGAUUGUUUCGAAUGGAGGCGUCCAAGUCGUCGGCUUGGUCGUCGAUUUUCGUUCUGCAGAUACUUCCUCUUGUUUCGAUCAGACAGAAACUCAACUUGGCGGAUCAUCGAGAACAACACCAAUCACGUGUAUGCACUGCUGUUCAAUCAGUACUCCGUACAAGAUUUGUUCGUUAACGCAACACGCUGGCGGAUCGAUGCCUGCCGACACCUAUCAAAUCACGCGUGCACUGCAGUGUUAUUCAAGCACAUGAUUUGUUUGUUAGGUGUGCACGUCAAAUUGAAGGCCCCCCAUGCAUGCAUCCUGGAUCACACGCGCAAUAGUACUACACGAUUGCCUUUCCCCCCUUUGUCUUAUAGCAAAAUCCCACAGAUGCAUAACGUGUUCAUUCCUCUUCCAUUAAUUUUCAGAAGAUUUUUCCUUGCCAGGGCCGGCCAUGAGAUAUCUACAUACUGUAUAUAGGUUCCGUCCAGGCUGCAGAGAAGCAAAGUCAUCAGAGAGGUACUGGAUCACCGGACCAAGCUAAUAAUAGUUGCUUAGCCAUGGUCACGAAGAUUUUUCUUGGUAUUUCCCUUUUCGUGAUAUCCAUCCAACUGGUCGCCGGCGACGACGACGGCAGGCUGAGCAAGGUCGUGCGGCAGGUGCCGGCGAUGUACGUGUUCGGGGAUUCGACGCUGGACGUCGGCAACAACAACUACUUGCCGGGUAACGAUGUCCCCAGGGCCAACAUGCCACCGUACGGCGUGGAUUUCAGAGGCUCCAAGCCCACCGGACGGUUCAGCAAUGGCUACAACAUCGCCGACUCUAUCGGUGCGUACAUAUAUAUACAUGUGUAUAACUGUACAUAUGUAUCCUGUAUUUAUAUGCGCACGUACGCAUGAGGCGUGAGAGACUUAUAUAUUACAGCAUACUGUACAUAUUUUUGCAGCGAGGACGCUGGGACUGAAGGAGAGCCCUCCGGCUUAUCUGUCGCUCGCGCCACGAAGCAGCAUCCGUCUGGUCCUCGCCGCGCUCAGCGAAGGCGUCAGCUACGCGUCGGCUGGAUCCGGCAUACUGGACUCCACUGUAAUCAAGCGAGCUUAAUUGCUUCUCAGCCUAUAAGCACUGUUGUCAAUGUUAAUCACGAUGGUUGAUGCAUCUAUGUCACCAUGUGCAGAACGCUGGGAACAACAUCCCGCUGUCGAAGCAGGUGAGCCACUUGGCUUCCACGAAGCGCAAGAUGGAGGCCACGGUGGGCGCCCGCGCCGUGCGCCGCCUGCUGUCCGGCUCCUUCUUCCUCCUCGGCACCGGCAGCAACGACGUAUCCGUCUUCGCCGCGACCCAGCCGGCGGCCGGUGACGUGGCCGCGUUCUACGCCAGCCUCGUCUCCAACUACUCGGCCGCCAUUACCGUAAGCAUCCAUCCAUCCACGCAGACUCGUACAAUACCAGAUGCAUUCUUAGACUAUUUACGUAUAUACAUACAGGAUUUAUACGAGAUGGGGGCGAGGAAGUUCGCGGUGAUAAACGUGGGCCUGGUGGGCUGCGUGCCAAUGGCGCGGGCGCUGAGCCCAACGGGCUCGUGCAUCGGCGGGCUGAACGACCUCGCCUCGGGCUUCGACGCCGCGCUGGGCCGGCUCCUCGCGAGCCUGGCCGCCGGGCUGCCGGGCCUGUCGUACUCCCUCGCCGACUACCACGGCCUGUCGACGGAGACCUUCGCGAACCCGCAGGCGUCCGGGUACGUGAGCGUCGACAGCGCCUGCUGCGGGAGCGGAAGGCUGGGGGCGGAGAGCGACUGCCUGCCGAAUUCCACGCUGUGCGGCGACCAUGAUAGGUUUGUGUUCUGGGACCGCGGCCACCCUUCCCAGCGGGCCGGCCAGCUCAGUGCCGAAGCUUUCUAUGACGGCCCGGCCCAGUUCACGGCUCCUGUCAGCUUCAGGCAGCUGGCUGACAUGGAUGCUAGCUAUUAGUAGAGGAUUAUUAUUGGUUUUGCAUGUAGUUAUGCUGAGCUACCUUCGAAUAAAAUAUGGUACUUCCCCCCUCUCAUAAUUCUGGUCGAAAUAUUACAUGUAUUUAGUUAUUUUUUAAAAUAAAUAUAUUUAUUUUUGGAUAAAUUUGAGACCGGAAUUAUGAAACGGAGGGAGUACCAAGGAUUGGAUCUUCGAUCUUCCAUGCACUCCCGUCGUAAGAACUUGAGUGAGGAUCCAUCAUGCAUUCUGGCUAAGGAUGUAAUUAAUUAUGAUUUCAAAUUUUCAACAAAUGCAACAACAAGAAUGGUCAUGGACUAUAAAUUAGAGACCAUUUGAAAUCCAUUUUACGCUCAGUUGCCACAAAGGGAUGAUAAAGUAGACCGUAAUCGUGUAGACCAAAUAACCGACCGAGUAAUAUAAUAAGUUCAAACCGACCGAGUACUUAUUUAUUUUUGAAGUUAAACUGUAAGGGUUGCGCGAUUGCAGUCCGACAGUAUAUAGAUAUAUAUAAUUCUACAAAAUGAGACACCAAAGUACGACCUUCGAAGAUCGAACUCUGGUGGGCUGUCAGCAUACCUGGCUAGCUGACCACCUAAACUAUGCUUGGUUCUCGACCUAGUACUUAUUGGAUUACUCGGUGGGUUAAGUGAACUUAUUGGAUUACUCGGUCGGUCAUGUGGUCUACUCGACUACAGCCUAAUUUAAAACUUCCCGCACACCUUGUUUAUGAACCUUGUGCUAGCUGUGGCAUGGCAGUAACUGCAGCUCUGCACGGACCGGAAUCAACUGAAGCUGCAGUUGGUGUAUUGGUCGGACUCGGAGUCAAAUUGAUCCCCGCGUGAUGCAUGGCGCCCGGGGUACAAAUAUGCCGUUGCCAUGCCUGCCCUCGAUCGAAAUCAAAACCGAAAUCGAAGGCUCUCGAACCGGCCCCCGGCCGGCGCUUCGACGUCACCGUUCGGCGGCGAGGCCAUGCCCAUACCCCAACGGCUGGCUGUCGUCGUCAAAACGCCGCCUCCACGGCCGGAACGGCAGCAGCGAGCACCGUGGUCCGACCGCGGCCCUGCCGGCCGACGUCCUCUCGCUGAUCCUGGCGCGCGCGUCGUCGGGCGCCGCUGACGUGGCGGACACGCACGCCGCGCUCAUCUGCCGCCGCCCUCUCGAUACCACACCCGCCUUGCCCUCGGUUUCUUCCACCAGCAACACGAACGCGUCCGCGCCGUCUUCCCCAGCCGCCGGACGACGACCGCGCAGCCCCGCUUUGUGCCCACAGCGUCCGCCUCGCGCCUCCUCCUGGGCCCGGGCUCUCAUCAUCUCGAUCCAGGUCCAGGCCCACCAGGCCUGUUCGACUACGCCCGCCCGGUCGCGUCCCGGAACGGGCGCGUCGUGCUGGCGCUGCGGCGACGGGCUGACGCUCAGCGUGUUGAACCCCAUGACCGGGGACGUGUCCGUGCUCCCCGCGCUCUCGGGCGACGACUGCCCGGGGCAGUGCUACGUGUGCGCCCUGCUCACGAGCGACGACCUCGCCGAUCGAACCACCGGCGCCCGCGGGCUUCUUCUUCCGGGUGCUCCUCGUCUACAACGGCCGGCGCCGCAGCGGCUUCACGGCGCUGCUGGCCUUCUCGUCGGACACCGGCAUGUGGGGCCCGGAAGGCCGGAAGCCGGGGCCCAAGAUGAAUGCCGCCAGGCUGCGCCGGGUAGGCCCCGCGCGCCGUGGCCGUCCGCGGAGUCGUCCAGUAGCGCCACCAUGGACGUGAGCUUCGUGCCCUACAGCACCUCCAGCCUGUACUAUUUCCCGGACUACCGCGUGCUGGGCGUGUCACCGGAUGGGAGCCUCAGCUUCGUCUACGCGACUCUCAAUGGACUCAGCAUCUUUGUCGAGACCCUAGAGCCGCAGGCGGGUCAGUGGGAGACGCGCGAAUGGAUCAAACUGCCCCAGGUCCAGGUGAGCCAUGCGACGACCGCGGUUAAGCUGCGGUGGUUCAACGAGAAGAGCGGCACCGUGCUCUUCACCUUGAGACAGCAAGACGGAGACGACGCCACCAGCGGCGCCUUCCUGUUGAAUAUCGCCACGAGGUCGCUGGAGAAGCUUGCCGGCGGCGUCGAAUGCCAUGGGUGGAGGAACGUUUGCGGAUAUGAGAUGGACCGUGUGGCGCUCAUUGCGUCCACUGCCCGCUUCUGAUCUUCGUACGACACGUACGUACUUUUGGUUCUAGCCAUCGAGAAGAAAACAAGACAUGGAUGUUCAGCAAUUAGUGCUGUUUAACAUAGCUAUAAAGAAUAUGUCAAAUUAUUUUAUUUUGAUAGAAUCUAUCCGAUAAUUACAUAUAAGCUCAUUGACAUAAACUUGAGAGGAGCUGAUCCCAAACGUCACCUCUCGGACCCCAAAAUGUCGCUUGAGAAAACAGCUUAGUUUACAACAACCAUCCACGAAUUCGGAAGCACAAAGGUAGUUUUUUUGAGAGUUCUCCCAAAGGAGGCCCGAGGGGCAAUACACUUGCCGGAGCAAAAUAACCUUCUAGGUAGAAGCUAAGGGAUGCAGCAUAGGUCAUGAUGUAACCACCGAACUGGGGAACACGAUCAACAGAAGGAGGACUGUCAUGGGCAGCCAGAACGCCACAAGACAGCACCAGAGUGCAGUGAGGAUCAAACCAGAUAGCUCAAACAAAACAUGAAAACUACUGGCAAGAGAAACCACAAGCAUCAUCAUUAAGAAGACGCACCAAUGUCAUCUCAUGACAAAAGAUGACGCUGGCUCAUUAAGCAUGAAGAGAUUGCACAAAGUCUUCACCGGAGGGUGGGUUGUCCGAGAGAAGGAAAAGUAGUAAUAUGGUGGUGACAUGCUCUCGAAGAGUGCCACUAGUGUAAAAAUGUCUCCCCAAAGGGGGGGUGAGUUACCCAAUUGAGGAGUGUAAAAGGAGGGCAUAUACGACGACAUAUGAUGACAACAAGGGCAAUCCUGACAGAAGUUUCGAGAUUUGGAGAAGCUAAAUGGAGUUGGAUGAAAUGGGGUGGCGGAUGGAUAUCAGAUCGACCAAAGUUAGCACAACGCACUCUAUCACGGCAUCUCCGGCAGGAGGAAGCCGUCUCCAUGGCAGCCAUCUGCGAAACCAUGGAUCUUGGAAGCACAGCAAUCAAGUUGGUAUAGAGACCUCCAAGUAUAAGCCACGACACCAGGCGUUAAACUAUUGGUGCCGCCACCACAGCUGCCACCUGCAAACCAUGGUUACCGAGGGCAUGGCAGUGCCACAGGCAACGGAGGGAGGGACGAGGAGCAGCAUCACUCUAAUCAAGGUGAACAUCCGGAAAAAUUUGCAAUCUGAGGUGGCAGCGGGUUGGUGGAGUGGGGAGCAAUGAAUGAAGGGGGCGAUACCAGCACUGAAGAUGGCCGAUGAGGAGGCGAAAAUCGGAGUUGGAGGAGCCGUGGAGGGCAGCUUCGGAUCCUGGGACGCGGGCGGAGGCGACGGGCCAGGACUAGGCCGAGCGGCCCGCGGGAGGCGAGACCUGGGCCGGUGUGGAGCCCCAGACGGCGAUGUCAGCGGGCGCUCGGCCGAGCAGACGCCUGAUCUUGCCGUCAGACAAGCCAUCUCGGGAGGGGAGGAGGUGGGUACCGUCGACAGCGAGGUGGGCAGGAGCGGCAGGAGGGAGCAGCGAGUCAGCAGUCCGCCGGAUCUGGCCCGCGCCCGCCGGAUCUACCUUUAUCACGGCGACGACGAGCAUAGGCUACGAGGGAGCUAGGCUAGUCGGAGGCGCGCGGACGUGGCCUUGGCUGAGGACGAUGGCGAGACGACGAUGAGGGGCGGUGCGAACGUGAACCUGCGGCGCAACGCUCUGGAUCAGGAAAGCACCACACAGAGCAGGCCCUUGCACGGGAGAUGGGGUCGAUGGCGAGGCGAGGGGUGGUGAUGGGCGGCGCAGAUGAGGACCCGCGGCGCAGCAUUCCGGAUCUGGACGGGCACGCUGCUCGCCGAAUCCGGCCACCGCAGGCAGGGGGACGAGGCCCGGAAAGCACCUAGGGCCGCAGCCUCGCAGAGCAGGGCGCUCGCAUGGGACAAGCGGCAGCAGCAGCCCCGCCGCCACCAUCCUCGUCCGCUGCGCGAUUUCCGGCGACCAACUCUGAUGGCGACGAGGGGAAGCAGGUGGAGGGAGGCGGCGCUCGGAGGGAAACCUAGUCGCCCCCGAGUCGCUCUCGGGAGGACGACGCGAGGGACGCGUUUUUCCACAAAGGUAUUUAUAUGAGUUGCAUCUGACUAACUGCUUGACAUUAAUAGUUUAUCACAACACAAAUACAUACAAACAGCAAGAACCUUCUUAAAGACUUUCCAGAUCGGAUGAAAUGCGGAUCACUUACUAAUCAAAUACACAGCUGAACUAUCAUGAUGUACUAUAUGCCAAAUAAUCCUAUGCGAUUUGGAAUGAAGAAGAUUGCCGUGAUGAUCAACAAUAUUAACAACAUGAGGUUCAAUACACGAGUAAUUUACAAAAAUCACUGCACAGUAGCUACCAUCAGUCAGUGGCGGAGCCAGGAUUUUGUCAAGACCAGGACAGUUGCUCCCAAUCGCUAGAAUUAGCAAGUAAGACCCAGACCAAAUCGUGAAAUCAUCAAAAUUACCAAAGGAAAAAGCUUCUACGCCCUGGGCCGCGGUCUCCGCCCCUGCCGUCAGGAGCAUUUCUUGAAAACGGGAAACUUGCUUUAAGACAUGAACAAUAAAUUUAAGCACAAAUAAAAAGCAUGAAGACACAAUUAUCGAAUUGUGAUGUAAAGCUUUGUUUUCUUUUUCUAUAAACCAUUUUAUAUUGAUUUGAAGACAGGUUGUGUUCACAGGAAAUCACAAUGCCGGCACCUUGAUUGGAUGAAAACUUUGUUUCUUUUCUUCUAUAGACCAUUUUAUAUUGAUCCGAGGACAGUGUAAAGCUUUGUUUUCUUUUCUAUAAACCAUUUUAUAUUUAUUUGAGGACUGUGUAAAAGGACUCGAUACAGAAACAUCGGACCCGAGGUUUAGGCAUGGAGGUAACAUUGAACAUAGUACAUACAUUAGUAUUUUAACAGGGUUGUACAACAUCAAUUGGCUUAAAACGAACAGGGCGUAUAGGAGCUUGGCCGCUUGGAAUGGUGGACUCCGGAUAAAGUGGGUUCAGUUGCAGUAUUGAACAGGUUUCAGAGAAUACAACGAAGUUCAUGAAAAGGUUGAAGUGCUUCGGGAGCAAUUCCGCAACAAAAUUGGUCAAAUUAAGGUAGUAACAGCAGGUGAUGCGACUUCUCACUUCACUUCUCAGUUCAAUAAAGCUCCCUUUAUCGGAAAAAAAAACAAAAAUUAACAGAAAGAUACUAAGAUAUCUAUACCAAUAUAUUAAAUUGGAGUAUGUGGUGAUGGUACGAGUGUCGCGGUGCAUCACUUCACCAAAAUUACGAAUCUGCCAUCGCUGUCCCACGUGUCUUUUAAUCCCGGCUCCCGCAGUCCUCAAGCGCAGAAAAAACACGUACCACAAAAAAAAAUACAAACUAACAGAGCCCUCAUCGCGCCUCCUCCUCCUCUCCUACGAAUCUCACCCCCACCCCCUGCCCGAUCCGGAUCUCGCCGCCGCUCUUGGUUGCCUCCACCGGCUCGUGCGUGUCGGCGGCGUUCGUGUGCGGAAGGCGGCUCCGUCACGUGCUCCAACCGCCGCCUCCACCGGCUCUUGCGCGCCGGUGGCUCCCCGCGGGACUUGGACGGCGAUGAGACGAGCCUGAGGCCGGGAUGGCGGUCGCUUCGCACAAGGCAGCAAGGACUGCGUCGGCGCGAGCCAUCGGUGGCCCUCUGCACGGGCAGUGGCACGCGGCAACUAGUGGCCGGACGCGAUGUGUGGCGGCGCGCGGGCGCGGCGAACGGGCGGACAAGGCUGCGAGAGGGCGCAGGCGGACGGCGCACAGGCGGCAAGUGGGAGCAAACGGCGCAUGGGAGUGGACGGGCAGCGGGAAUCUACGGGUGGAGGCGGGGCGCACAAGCGGACGGCCGUGCAUGGCGACGUGAUGUUCGGUGGCAGGAUGAAUCGGGACGGGGAGAGGAGGAGUUUGCACUCAGUGUGAAUGGAGAGGAUAGUCAGAGAGAGCGAGAAAUUGAGAGAAGAUAUUUGAGAAAUAAAAUACGGAGUAGAAGUAAUAGUAGAGCACAAGGAGAAAUGUAGAAGACAUGUGGAAAAAAAAAAGAAACUAGUGUAUAGCCCACGAAAAUAAAUAUAUCAUAAGCGAUAUAUACAUAUGUACUCAAUUUUCCGUUGUUCCGGACCAACGUACGGUUCUUUUGCUAGUACUACGUAUACAGGAGAUGAUUACCAUACGCAGUUCGAAACUCAUAGACCCCCACCACCAUAUGACACCCUUAACCCCAUCUACUUUCUGCACAUGACAUCUAUGAACUGACCCCAUCUACUUUCUGCACAUAAAAACAAGUGAAGGGGAAACCUGGUAGAAUCAGGCGCUGACCCUUUAUAAUAGCGCCAUUCAAUAAGAUAAACUGAGCUUUGGUUGGAGAAUAAAAUCUGCACAUGACAUCUAUGAACUGUAAGAUAUAAUCAGAAAAUGCUCUCUAACAUAAAACAAAGCAAUAUUGGUUUACAGUAAAACUAUAUCUCUUGACUGAGGAUUCACACUUGACUUCCACAUAUUGUGGGAAAUAGGAAUGAGCCCAGCAAAACAUUCCCGAAACUAAGUCACCUUUAGAUGCCUAUGAUAUAAGUUAUAACACUAAAAAAUGUAUAAGGAAAUAAGGAACCACUCAGAUUUCAGCCUUGAAAGUAAUUACCAUCAUUCAGGCAAGCAAGAAGGCGUCAACAAAAAUAAUACCUGAGCAAUAACCCAGGCAAAGAUCAGAAGCUUUUCCUGUAAAAGAUAUUUACUGUUUCCCACUAUUUGGGCGGUAAGGUGUAUUACGGAGUAGCACCUUUGGCUUCCUUCUUAAAGUCAAGGCAAGCACAACGAAGAUUGCAACCUGACAAAAGCAAUGUUCAGUCACAAACUGACAGUCAAACAUCAACACCAACAAGAAACUGACGUCAUGCAUUAUUGUAAUUACAUGCUCAAUAAUCAAGAGUUAGAGACUUUUAAUGGUCAAAAUACAAGAGUAAAAUCUAUUUUGAACCUUGUCUUUGUAGAGGUUGGCUAAAUCAAACCCUGAACGUGCAAAUCCCCGAAGUUGCCACCCUCACCUCCCUAAUCCCGGUCUAAAAUUGCUUUAAAUGCGUUUAGAAGCCGGGAUCGCUGACGUGGCAGAGCCAAACCCGGGAAUCUUGACUUCUGUUGAGCUCAGUUUCCUCUCAAGUUGUGUCCAUUCAUCUCAAUUUGGUUGCGACUCGUAGCAAAUUCUCCUCUUCUCUGUCUCAUGGUUGUUAACUGUUCAUUCUGAACAACACGGUUGUUGUGGAUAUAUGGAGUGGCAUGAUGGCCCGAUGAUGCCGUUUCUUCGGCAAUUGCUACUCGAUCUAUGCAAUACAAUACAGUAUGGGCUUGUGAUGUUCAAGUUAAUGUGGAGCCAAUUGAAGCACAAAGAGCAAGAAAUGUGGCUGUUGCUGCACUAAGACAGGAGCUUGUUGAGAAGAAUGCAGAGAUUGAAGCUAUUAGGGCUAGAAAUGAGACAGGGGACAGGAAGAUGUAUGAACUUGUUGUGUAUGCAGUCCUGUUUUUUCUUGCUGGUUUAGUGGCAGGAAUUCAGCAUUGAGUUGUAUUGGUGUAUGGAAUUUCUGGAAGAAUGGCAGGAAUUAAUCAGUCAUCUGUAUGUGCCUUUGCUGUGAAAGAACGGCAGAUUCCAUGUGAAUUUUGACAGCACAUACUUGUGUAUUUCCUAUGUAUUUUUACAACACUUUUCUGUAUAUUUUGACAGCAGAAACUGAACUGAAUAAUGCAAAGAAAAGAUCACAGUUUUCUGAACAUUAUGACAGCACAUGUUGACAGGAAGAAAAAACAGACCCGAUCAAUCCAGCGUUCAAUCAUUCCAAAGAGACCACAUGUUGACCGGAAGCACAAACUGGGACUGAAAAUAAGCUGCUGGCGCCACUUUAUGGACCCCUGUUUGGAAAACCCGUUUUAGCAUCUUUAGACCGGGAUUUGGAAGUUUAGGGUGCCAACUUUAGGGAUUUGCAAGUCAGGAUUCCAUCUACAUUUCUACAAAGACAAGGUUUAAAAUAGAAUUUACUCGAUUACCAAUCUAUAUUUUAUCAUAUCCAAGAUCUCUAUGCAAUGCAGAAUGUCAGCAAAUAAAAUAUACAAUUUGCAGAACCUACCUAUUAAAUGAAUGAUGGUUGUUCGAGAACCAGGUCUUUCUACCUGAAUCAGCACUUCAUUGCAACCAAAAUGGUGCUAGAAUCGGUUGACAAGGGUCCAGUAUUGAAACAUAACAUUUGCGAUUAAAAUAUAGUUUGUGUUUUCCUUCAUGAACCUACGAUACAUAUGAUGAACAGGUGAUAGGUAAAGUCAUCAUGGAUUGAAUGCUACCUGGGCUUUGGAGUUCGUUGGACAACCUUCUCCGAAUUUUCCGGUCCCACUGCUUAACCUGACAACUCAGAAAUGAUUUUAUCCAUACACCACAAAACGAAUUCCCCCAGGGCAUUGGGAAAUCUCUGAUUGAUCCAAUCACUCGCCAUCUUGCAAACUGGCUCAGGAAUAUAGCACAAUGGUAUCUGCUCAAUACAUCAUACAACAACCAAUUAGGCGCAUCGCAAAAACAAUUCAAGUAUAAAGCAAGGUAAUUCUCAUUCUUAAAUAUCCUGAUGUAAGGUAAAUGUCAAUCACAAUGGUGAUGCAGAAACACAUGCAAUCUCUGCUAGUCAUUGAAGCAUGCAGGUGAAAGAGCAAUAACUAAAGAUGAGCUUGCAGAUUAUUCAACAAGUGAAGAUGAUCAAGCAUUCAAGCCCAAGAUCAAAAGGCGAGUGAAGGUGAAGCUGGAGGAGGAGGCGAUGGUGGUUUUGAAGUGGAUGAUGGCCUUGGUUUAAGCGACUGAUAAUAUAAUAGUAUGGUGCUGCAGACUGACAUAUAGGUGUUGGGCUGGUGUGCCUUCUUUUGGACAUACAAAUCUAGGCUGCCUCAGAUGAUCAUAAAAUAACUUCAUUUUUCAUAUAGCCAUACACAACUCUGCAUUUGUUACUUAAAGACGACGAACUGAAAAGAUUGUAUGACAGCACGUCCUACACAGUACUUUUCUAAGACAAGUAAGCUUCCUCAAAGUAGCGUUGAAACAAGUCGUUCCGCAAAUAAAAACAACUCAUUAUGCAAAUAAAAGAUUCUGCACAACGAAUACAAAUGAGGUGAACGGGUAGGCCCAUACCUGGAAUUCAAGGCUUACAUUCAACAAUAGUGGACACAAGAGCCUGUUUACCAAUAAGAUGAACAAUUUAUUUUUCGGUAGCAUCAUCACCAACUAAUAUGAUUUGCUCAGCACCAAAGCCAUGCAGGUUACCAUGUUUACAUUUGUUUUCUCCAAAAAUAUUCACAGUUGCAUUUUUGUCAUUACCCGUUUCCAGGACUCCAGCAGCACAGGAAGUUCUCCAUAUACCGGACCAGUCUCUGGAUUAGCUUGUCAACACACUUGAUGGGAAAAAGCACAAGAGGUAAAUGAUACUUUGGGCCAUACAAAGAAUUCCACAAUGCAUGCGAAAAUUUUGGAACAUAUCGGAGAGAUGGCGUAGCUUGUUUUCCAUGUUUAUUUCCUUGCAUGCAUGCUUAAAGUGAUCGAAUAUCUUCAAAUCCCCCUUGCUAUAGUAUGCUCAGUGUCACCGGCAAAAUGGAAGCCCUCCUCAAAAUUUCUACGGACAUACUUAACAAGUGCUAUUUGUGUCAUGGUCAGAUCCUGUACCUCAUCUACGUAAACAAAAUCCACCAUAUCGCCAUUGUGUAGCCCUCAGAAACUAGACUUCCAUGAAGACAAUUCACAAAAUAUUGUCUGCAUGAUAUGCUGGUUACAAAUAAUGCCCGAAAAGAGAUUCUUUGGUUAUUGGGGUUAGACUAUCCUCAAUUGCUCCUAGGUGAUGCACACAAAAUAUUCGACAUACUCUAUCCAAAAGACCCAAACUGGACAUUUUAGUAGCAAAAUGCAUAAAUACCGAUUAACAUGACCAUCCAUACUCACCAAAGAAGACAUCUAAGGUUUCUUUCCCUGGAUACUAAAUAGAAUGCAUAGACAUUGUUCAGUUUCUUUUCAUAAUUAUUAUUAUACAAACUAAUGCAAGUCUUUAUACUCUACUGACCCGUAAAAUAUGUGAUAUAUAUAAUUAUUUCAUUUUCUUUUCUCUAGAAAUCUCUGAUCAGAAGAGAUUAAGUUAAGCCAAUGCUGAUCAAAGUACAGCAUGCAAGAAAAAAAAAACUACAGCAGGUGAAAUGGCAAAGUUAACAGGAUGAUACUAAGAUAUACUACAUAUAUAUAGGAGACGAUUACCAUACGCAGUUCGAAACUCAAGACCGCCACCAUAGUGACAAUAUGAUAUCCUUAUCCCCAUCUACUUCCUGUAGGCUAGCACAGUAACACAAAAAACCGAACCGACCACAGAACACAGCAAAUCCAAGGCAAGCUUCCUAACACUUGAUGAAAAAAAAAAUGAAUGCAGACACCUAGUCGACCUCCUCCAUCUUGCUCUCGCCAGCGUCAUCCUCCAGUGCUGGCAUGUCGGUGUCAUCAGCAUCGGCGGCCUCAUCCUCAUCGAUGCUCAGGCCAAGCUUGAGCAUACGGUGGAUCCUGGUGCCGAAGGUGUUGGGGUCGUCCAGGCUGAAGCCAGAGGUGAGCAGGGAGGUCUCGAACAGCAGCAUCACCAAGUCCUUGACAGACUUGUCAUUCUUGUCAUCAUCCGCCCGCUUGCGCAGCUCCUCCAUGAUGGCGUUCUCCGGGUUGAUCUCCAUUGUCUUCUUGCUUGACAUGUAGCCUCCCAUGCUCGAGUCCCUCAGAGCCUGGGCCUUCAUGAUCCGCUCCAUGUUGGCAGUCCAGCCAUACUCACCAGUGACAAGACAGCACGGCGAGUCAACGACGCGGUCAGAGACAAUGACCUUCUCCACCCUGUCACCGAGCACAUCCUUGAUCACCUUGCAGAGGCCCUCAAACUUCUCCUUGAGCUCCUCCUUCCUCUUCUUCUCAUCCUCACUGUCCUCAAGCUUCAGGCCUUCCUUGGUGGCAGACACAAGCUUCUUUCCCUCGAACUCCUUGAGCUGGCCAAUGGCGUACUCAUCAAUGGCAUCAACCAUGAACAGGACUUCAUAGCCCUUCUUCUUUAGCCUCUCCAAGAAGGGAGAAUUCUCCACAGCCUUCUUGCUCUCGCCGGUGAUGUAGUAGAUGUCGUUCUGGCCCUCCUUCAUCCUGGUCACGUAGUCCUUGAGGCUGGUCAGCUCAUCACCACUCUUGGUGGAGUGGUACCUCAGGAGCUCAGAAAGCUUGGUCCUGUUGGUGGAGUCCUCAUGGACGCCAAGCUUGAGGUUCUUGGAGAAUGCCUCAUAGAACUUGUUGUAGUCCUCCUUGUUCUCAGCAAUCUCAAAGAACAGCUCAAUGGACUUCUUAACAAGGUUCUUCCGGAUGACCUUGAGGAUCUUGUUCUGCUGGAGCGUCUCUCUAGAGAUGUUGAGGGGAAGGUCCUCAGAGUCAACAAUUCCCUUGACAAAGCUCAGCCACUCAGGAAUCAGCUCCUCACAGUUGUCCAUGAUGAAGACACGGCGCACAUAGAGCUUGAUGUUGUUGGCCUUCUUCCUGGUGUCAAAGAGGUCGAAGGGGGCCCUCUUGGGGACAAAGAGAACAGCCUUGAACUCAAGCUGCCCUUCCACAGAGAAGUGCUUGACAGCUAGAUGCUCCUCCCAGUCGUUUGUCAAGCUCUUGUAGAAUGCAGCGUACUCCUCCUUAGUGAUCUCUUCAGGCUUCCUCAUCCAGAUAGGCUUCUGCUUGUUGAUCAGGGACCACUCAUGAGAAACCUCCUUGAUCUUCUUCUUCUUCUUUUCUUUUUCCUCCUUUUCUUCAUCAAUUUCCUCAACCUUGCCCUCCUCACUAUCCUUUUUCUCUUCCUCAUCCUCAUCAUCGGAAAUUUCCUUCUCAGUUGUCUUCUCAGUCCACAGAGAGAUAGGGUAGCUGAUAAACUCAGAGUGUUUCUUCACCAGAUCCUUAAGGCGCCGCUCCUCGAGGUACUCCAACUGCACAGUAGAAGCAAAUUGUUAGGGACAAUUAACACGCCACAAGUUAUCAGUAACAAUAUGAGUAAAGAAGAAUCUGCUGCAGUCUGACCUAUGUGCAGUGAUACUUAAGUUGAGAAAAAACUUGCUCGAUGAAUUAUUUUGAUUAAUUUUACUGAUUCUACAUAGUAAUAGUGAAGCCAACUUGAAAGCAACAACAUUCUCCAAAAAAAAAACUUCACAGCAACAACAAAGCAACAGGAAAUAAUUCCGUUUCAAACUAGGGAUGCAAACGGGACCCUGCAAAGGCCCACUACUAGUUCAAUCGUCAAAUCUCCUAUUCGAAAUUUGAAUGGGAAAUGAAAUUCAAGAAUUGAACGAAACAGGAUCACAUUUGCAUCGCAAUUCAAUACAACAACAAACAAUAAUGCUGAUUAAUUUCAUUCCAAAGGCCAAACAAUAAAUUAACUUAGCAAGUAUAUUCCAUUUCAUUGCAAACAGAUGGCCAUAAAUUCAAAACAUAGACCAUAGCAGGUACCAACAGGGGACUGAACCAACAGGAAAUUCUUAAACCCAAAUUCAACAUUCAACUUCCAUUAAAGCUCACAUUCCAACAGUGAAUUGAGCAUAUGAAGAAGCAGGAAAUUCUUGUACCCAAAUUUGAACAUCCAACUUCAAUUAACCCUCACAUUUUCAGCAUUGAAUUGAGUAUCACUAACAAAGCCAGGGACCAUUUGGUCAUUACAACAACAGUAAUACAACAAGGGAGGGAAAUGAGCAGCACACGAUAAGGAUAUCUCAUGAGAAGUUCUAAUUAGCCACACAAACAAUCAGCACUAUCCAAAUCAAACUAAGCUGCAAACAGGACAUGGCUCAGGUAAAUUGUGCAAGCACUUUAGCUAUUGGCCAGGUAGCUAGUGCAAGCAAAUAUUUAUUUUCUCCUAACAUUACCCAGGUAGCAGGUACAGGUAGUAAAUUAUUAUUCGGUGAGCUAUAUUUUGUUUUACCUGAUCAUCCUUGAGGUAGAGGGUGAUCUUGGUACCCCUUCCAAGGGGCUCUCCAUCAUCACGGGUGACUGUGAAGGACCCACCCGCCUGAGACUCCCACACAUACUGCUCAUCGUCGUUGUGCUUGGUAGUCACAACGACCCUCUCCGCAACAAGGUAAGCAGAGUAGAAGCCAACACCAAACUGACCAAUCAUGGACACAUCAGCACCAGCAGCCAGUGCCUCCAUGAACUCCUUCGUCCCAGACCUUGCAAUUGUACCAAGGUUGUUCACCAAAUCUGACUUUGUCAUACCGAUACCACUGUCGAUGAGCGUGAGUGUGUUCGUGGCCUUGUCAGGGACAAUGUGGAUGAAUAGCUCUGGCUGGGCAUCCAGCUUGCUUUUGUCAGUCAGGCUCUCGAAUCUGAUCUUGUCCAACGCCUGCAGAUUAGAGAAUCCAAUUUAAUUUAGUAAAACUUCAUAAACAGCAUCCACCAUCCAGUGAGUCAACAACGUAAAGUAACUGCUCUGUACUAUAUUGAUGGACUGUUUUCUUUAGAAAUCACAAGUAGAUUACAGAUCCUAUUUACAUUAAUUCUUGAAUUACAAUCCUAUAAUAGCAACUCAUGGUCUGAGUUUAGUUUUAAAAGAUAAUGGCCAACUCCAAACAUUCAAAUCUACCUUGGAAAUUUAAAGGCGAAGAAACAAAUCAUUCUCAGAAUCUAUUAAAAUCUUAAAUCAAACAUAGAUUCAACAUAAUCAGCACAAAGGCAAUAGUCAUGUGAACGUUUAAGCUUCUAUGAUCAAAACCUAGCACACAAGGCAUGAUUGAGCUUGCAACAGAGAGUAAUUGUUUCGAGAGCUAGUACAGGACUCAAAUCAGCUCUCUAAACACGGCUAGUUUCACAAGCGAGAGGCCACAUUGAUAAAAAAAAAUCAUCGCUAUGUUUUAUGCACAGAACUGCUUGCAACAGAGAGUAAUUGUUUCGAGAGCUAGUACAGGACUCCAAUCAGCUCUCUAAACACGGCUAGUUUCACAAGCGAGAGGCCAUAUAGAUAAAAAAAUCAUCGCUAUGUUUAUGCACAGAACUGUACAUUCAUCUAUACAGAUUAAGACGCCCUUUCACUAAUCAGCGAGAAAACAUGUCAGAAUCAGAUGAAACAAACGGAUCUAUUUUUGAUGCGACAAGGGGACAUAGCGCACACGGAUCUAGAGCAGCAAAGGCAAAAUUACAUGGGCGCGUGGAGAGGGCUUACAUCGGAGGAGUUGGAGAUGAGCUCGCGGAGGAAGAUCUCCUUGUUGGAGUAGAAGGUGUUGAUGAUGAGCGAGAGCAGCUGGUUGAUCUCCGCCUGGAAGGCGAAGGUCUCGGUCUCCGAGGCCAUGGCGCC
rnacentral:lncRNA from 1 species